GCGGCGUCCGGCUUCCCGGGCCGAGUGUCGCGCUGAGAAAGGUUGGCUUCACCCACCCGGUUGCGCCUCCCAGCUCACUGCAUUAAGCCCCUUGUGUGUGGGGGGGGCGCUCAGAGGCAUUAGGAAAACACCACUGAUCAUUCACCGUGGCCUGAGCUUUUAGCGGGCGCUUGCAGUGUGUCGCGUUCAGUACCUCAUCACUGCGCGGAGUCCUCCCAACGAGUCCAUGAGAUAAGGAAGGCGUGACACCCAUUUGCAGAUUCCAUCCCGAGGGUCGUGGGGUUUAAUUCACCCCGGUCACACACCAGGAAAACUACAAUCAGAAUUGGAGUCUGUGUGACUCCAGGGACCCCAGUGACGGGACAAUAUCAAAACUUGAUUAUCAAGUUAAAAUAACGCGCCAUGCUGCAAUGAACUUUGUACACAUCCUGUUGGUACUGUUUUGGUAUUUCUUUCCGGCAAAUUCCAUAAAAAGAAAUGAUGAGAUCAAAGGGAAUGUUCGUUUAAAAUCGUUUUUGCUCCAUACAAUUAUGCAAAUUGACCUUCACCAACAAUGUAUCAAGGACCCCACUGAGGAGCAGAGAGAAAGAAGCUGGAAGAAGUGAUGAUGGAUGUCCAGGGCCUGAGGGAAGCAUCAUAUGCAACCGGCCAAUCGUUCAGCAGAGAUGACUUUGCAUGCAUCCGAAUAUCCUCAGCAGUUAGGGUAGGGUAUUUGUGUGUGUGUGUUUCUCUGAAGAAUCCGUAAAGCA